AAGUCAGAGACUGAGCUCAAGGAUACUUAUGCUCGUUGGCUUCCUCUUGGACUGGGUCUCAACCACCUGGGGAAGGGUGAGGCCAUCGAGGCAAUCCUGGCUGCACUGGAGGUUGUGUCAGAGCCAUUCCGCAGUUUUGCCAACACACUGGUGGAUGUGUGUGCAUAUGCAGGCUCUGGGAAUGUGCUGAAGGUGCAGCAGCUGCUCCACAUUUGUAGCGAACACUUUGACUCCAAAGAGAAGGAGGAAGACAAAGACAAGAAGGAAAAGAAGGACAAGGACAAGAAGGAAGCCCCUGCUGACAUGGGAGCACAUCAGGGAGUGGCUGUUCUGGGGAUUGCCCUUAUUGCUAUGGGGGAGGAGAUUGGUGCAGAGAUGGCAUUACGAACCUUUGGCCACUUGCUGAGAUAUGGGGAGCCUACACUCCGGAGGGCUGUACCUUUAGCACUGGCCCUCAUCUCUGUUUCAAAUCCACGACUCAACAUCCUGGAUACCCUAAGCAAAUUCUCUCAUGAUGCUGAUCCAGAAGUUUCCUAUAACUCCAUUUUUGCCAUGGGCAUGGUGGGCAGUGGUGAGUAUCCGGCAGAAGAAGAUCAUAAACAGAUUGGGGGAAGAUUUGAAGCCCCUUUUUUCACUUCUGUAAUGCUUAACAUUUCCAGGUACCAAUAAUGCCCGUCUGGCUGCAAUGCUGCGCCAGUUAGCUCAAUAUCAUGCCAAGGACCC
rnacentral:sRNA from 1 species